CCCGGCCAGCACUGGGUGCUGACGGCUUGGCCGUGGCGGCCAGGAGGAGGUCCGGGGUGGUGUUAGGAAGGACCGGGGCCUCGUCUGACAGGGAGCUGGGGAGAGCAGAGACAUCCUGACUGUGCAGGAACUCGGUCCUCUCUUCAGCCAGAUCCCCAGGCCCCGUGGAACUGCCACCCUCCAGCAGGCACGCUUGUAGCAACUGCUGCGUGGUGGGCUGCAGGGUCGCUGCCCCGGGGGCCUCAUCCUGCACGGGCUCUGGGGCCCCCCGCCGGCUGGGCUCCUGCAGAGACAGCGUGUACAGCUCCGAAAAGCUCCUGGCGGGAGAACGGGCGGCCGGCGUCAGGCAGGAACACCCUGUCCCCGGUGUCCCGCAUCUCCAGCCCCACUCCCGGCUGUGCCCGAGGCUCACUUCCAGGAGGAGAGCUCUCCAAACACCCUAACGACAACGAAAACUGUUUGCCUGACUACUGGCCAUUUUUUCCAGACCCAGCGCUGCCCCUGUGUAUCCUGGGCAAAUCACUCUGAACACCCGUUUCUCCGUCUGUGAAAUGGGUAAACUGUACCAAUUCACAGCCCGCUGUGAGGAUUUAAGUAAUGACACAAGUAAAUCACCCGGGGUAGAGAUCUAAAAAACUCCUGCCUGGGAGCCAAAUCCAGCCUGCGCCUUUUUUUUUUUUUUUUUUUCCUGUUUUAGCAGAUGUGCCUGUUUUCCUACUCCUGUGAGCCAAGAAUGGUUUUUACAUUUUUAAAUAGUUGGCAGAAAUCAAAAGAACAUUUCAUGACACAUGAAAAUCAAUAAAAUUCAAAUUUCAGCGUCCACAAAUAAAGGUUUAGUGGAACAAAGAAAACGAAUUCAUUCAUGUGUCCUCUAUGGAUGCUUUUGUGCUACAGCACAGUUGAGUAGCUGUAGCAGAGGCCAGGUGGCCCAGAAAACCUAAAUAUUUACUGUCUGGCCCUUUGGGGGAAAAGUUUGCAUAUCCUGGCUUAAGCCGGUAAGUGGCCGGUUGCAUGUAUGCGUCUGUGGAUGAUACUUUUAAAAAGACGGGGCUGCUGUUGGAUCUUG